rfam:Salmo salar isolate Sally breed double haploid chromosome ssa13, whole genome shotgun sequence.
ACGGUGAACAUUUGUAAGUCGCUCUGGAUAAGAGCGUCUGCUAAAUGACUUAAA